GUCGCCACCAGACUGCGCGACUCGUAACUCUUCGGCUGUCUUCGGUGAGCUUCGCGAGCGGAGCCCAGGACGCCGUUUGUCAGUAAUCAAUAGUGAUAGCCCGCUAUGUAAUGACACACGUCGGGCAUAAUUCGACAGUGAAAUAUGGAGGUGUGGCUCUAAUCCAUAUCUCUUCUUUCUGUCUGAAGUAAAUGUCCAAGCAGUAGCUGCAAGGGCAGAACUCGAAGAGGAACACCAGAUGGGAAGAGCAUUUUGGGAAAAUCAGACUGCCUGGCAGGACAAAUUCCAACAGCUAGAGGAACAGUUUUCUACUUACCGAGAAAAAAAGGACAAGUUACAGGAACUUCCACAGUUGUGUGAGCAACUGAGGGAUGAAAUGUUCUAUCUUGAGCCCCAGAAGCAGAUAUCAGAAUUCUCAGACCAUCACAAAAUAGCAGAGGGGCAAAUAGUUGGCACAAGCCAUCCACGGUGGCUUCUCAUGGAGGAAGCACAGCUGGCCGACAUGGUUGUCACAGGUGCAAGCACUGUACUACAUUAUAUUUCAUCAUCAUAUUUUAAGUGUUGUAACGGAUGAUGUAUUUAUAAUAGUUGAAGGUGAUACUUGUUGAUCUUGUAUCCCUUCUUUUGCUACAAAAAUGAGGCCACACAACACAAUGUGAUUUAUUUAGGUUUUCAUUGGGUAAUCAAGUAAAACUGUAUCUUGCAGUUUGAAGGCCUGUAAAUUGUAUCCGAUAGUGCAUAUAAUUUCCAGCCUUCGUGCAUGCUACAGCGUGCUACUUGAUAUUAUGAAUCUGAUUACAGCAUUACAAUUUUCUAUAUGACAGGGAAGACUACACACAAUUGUGGGAGGAAGCACUAGCAUUUGUGUGGAAACAGUAUGUAAAAUAAACAAGAAAAACAUUAUUUUACUCCCUGUCAUUAUCCAAAUUGAAGUUAGGACAGUUGUCGGUGUUGCAACAACUCUACUUCUCAAGUUACAUUUUUUUUUUAAAUGCUAUGAUAAAAGCUUACUCUUGUAUAUUUAUUGAUCAGCUGUUGCUGUUCAAGCACUAGUAGCUGGAAAGGACAUGCUUAUUAUGAUACGAUGUAUAUCUAAAUACAAGUGUUAAAAAAAAAUAUUAAAUGUUGCAAAGAUCUAGAUUGUUGGUUGAGAUUUGUUGUAAAUGGAGGAAGUGUUAAUCAUUUUUGUAACAAAUCACCAUCAUUAUACAAAUAUACAGUUACCUAACUUUGAGUAAUUAUUUAUUUGUUUUCUGCAUGGACAAAUACAAGGAUUUGUUUUGCAUAGUUUACAUAUUGGUCAUUUCCCCUUAUAACAUUGUGGGGAAACAAUUAUAUACAAUAGGCCUACAGAUAAAAAAUUAUGUUCCUUUUUUUGGGUACAUGUAAAUACUAUUUAUACAAAUGAAAGUAUUCUAUUCCUCUUAGAGGAAUUCCUUAAUACUACAUAGCACACUGGACGACGGUUCAAUUCUGCGUCCGGCCAUCCUGAUUUAGGUUUUCCAUGAUUUACAUAAAUCUCCCCAGGCCAAUGCCGGGAUGGUUCCUUUGAAAGGGCACGGCCGACUUCCUUCCCCGUCCUUCCCUAAUCCGAUGACCUCGCAGUUUGGUCUCUUUCCCCAAACAACCCAACUCUUUCAAAGCAGCUCCCACUUAUGCUUUUUAAUUUUUUGAAAUUUGUUAUAAAAUUUGAUCCCAAUGUAAUAGGGGCUCUUGUCAGCACUUUUUGUAUUUCUUUCUUUCCAGGUGAUAAUCAUGGUAGCUCCUAGUAUUGUACAUGUGCACUUCUCUAUUUAGAUGAUUGUACUGCUUGUAUUUUAGCAUCAGCUGAACAGUUUUAUAAAUAUAUAGUGAUGGUGGUGUUAGUAGUUUCUUAAUUUUGAAAUUGGCUUUGUAGGUCUCAUUUGAUCUAAGAUUACACUGAAAUUAUGUCUCCAUAGGCACAGAGAAAAAUAUAAACUAUGAAAACUGCACUUCAUGACCAUUCAGUUGGGCUGUCAGUAGCAAGUGCUGAAUUUUUUGAGAAUGUAGGCAUGUUGUCCCCUUUAACUUUGUUUCCUAUUGGAGUACAGAAUGCAAAACAUUUAGACUCUGUCUAGUUUAUAUUAAGGAUUGUUAAUGUGCUUUGAAGUAAGGAUGUAUAAGCCCAUUGUAUUUGUGUAUUGAUGUAGUAAUUUAUAUCUCCACUGAAAUAGGGUUUACCACAUCAGAAAUAUUAUGUAAUGUGCACAUAAAGAUAAAUUGGUUACAGGUAGUUCUGUUAAGGAUUGUGUAGUAUAGUUCUAUUAAUACUGGAGUUAAUUUUAAAAAAGAAAUUGUUUUUAUCUCACGUGUAAAUAUGAUAGCCUGGGUGUUUUGUACUUGUGAAAAUUUUAGGAAAAAUAAAACGUUGUUGUAAGUUUGCA